rnacentral:rRNA from 1 species
GUCGAACGAGAGACCUUCGGGUCUCUAGUGGCGAACGGGUGAGUAACACGUAGGGAACCUGCCCGCGCACCGGGAAUACGCUCUGGAAACGGAGAACAAAUCCCGAUGUACAGGAAGGAGGCAUCUUCUUUCUGUGAAACAUCCUUUAGGGGAUGGGGCGCGGAUGGACCUGCGGUGCAUUAGUUGGUUGGCGGGGUAAAGGCCCACCAAGACGAUGAUGCAUAGCCGGCCUGAGAGGGCGGACGGCCACAUUGGGACUGAGACACGGCCCAGACUCCUGCGGGAGGCAGCAGUAGGGAAUUUUCGUCAAUGGGCGCAAGCCUGAACGAGCGAUGCCGCGUGAGUGAAGAAGGCCUUCGGGUCGUAAAGCUCUGUUGCGGGGGAAAAAAGGCAGCAUCAGGAAAUGGGUGCUGACUGAUGGUGCCCCGCCAGAAAGUCACGGCUAACUACGUGCCAGCAGCCGCGGUAAUACGUAGGUGGCGAGCGUUAUCCGGAAUGAUUGGGCGUAAAGGGUGCGCAGGCGGUCCUGCAAGUCUGGAGUGAAACGCAUGAGCUCAACUCAUGCAUGGCUUUGGAAACUGGAGGACUGGAGAGCAGGAGAGGGCGGUGGAACUCCAUGUGUAGCGGUAAAAUGCGUAGAUAUAUGGAAGAACGCCAGUGGCGAAGGCGGCCGCCUGGCCUGUUGCUGACGCUGAGGCACGAAAGCGUGGGGAGCAAAUAGGAUUAGAUACCCUAGUAGUCCACGCCGUANACGAUGAGGACCAAGUGUUGGGGGUGANACCUCAGUGCUGAAGUUAACGCAGUGAGU